GGCGGCAGGCUUAACACAUGCAAGUCGAACGAGAAACUGACUUCGGUCAGCAGACAGUGGCAGACGGGUGAGUAACGCGUGGCAACCUACCUUUUUCUACGGAACAACAGUUGGAAACGACUGCUAAUACCGUAUACGCCCUCCGGGGGAAAGAUUUAUCGGUGAAAGAUGGGGCCGCGUUAGAUUAGCUAGUUGGUAAGGUAAUGGCUUACCAAGGCGACGAUCUAUAGCUGGUCUGAGAGGAUGAUCAGCCACACUGGGACUGAGACACGGCCCAGACUCCUACGGGAGGCAGCAGUGGGGAAUAUUGGACAAUGGGGGCAACCCUGAUCCAGCCAUGCCGCGUGAAUGAUGAAGGCCUUAGGGUUGUAAAAUUCUUUCGCUAGGGAUGAUAAUGACAGUACCUAGUAAAGAAGCCCCGGCUAACUCCGUGCCAGCAGCCGCGGUAAUACGGAGGGGGCUAGCGUUGUUCGGAAUUACUGGGCGUAAAGCGUGCGUAGGCGGAUUAUUAAGUUAGGGGUGAAAUCCCGGGGCUCAACCUCGGAACUGCCUCUAAAACUGGUAAUCUAGAGAUAUGGAGAGGUAAGUGGAAUUCCUAGUGUAGAGGUGAAAUUCGUAGAUAUUAGGAGGAACACCAGAGGCGAAGGCGGCUUACUGGACAUAUACUGACGCUGA
rnacentral:rRNA from 1 species